rnacentral:sRNA from 1 species
GGGCGGGGAGCCGGGAGCACGGUGGAGCGGUGGAGGGCGUCACUGGGUUUCGGCGUCUAGCAAGUGGUUCAGCUGUCUGCUCCCUAGCAGCCGGCCUUCGGGUCGGGCGUCUCCGUCGGCGACUGCCGCUUCAGUUCUCCCGGUGUGGCCACGAGUCGGGUUGCACUGCUGUGAUCCAUCCUCAUCUCCUAAAGAUGCAUCCUGACUUAUCUCCACACUUGCACACUGAAGAAUGCAACGUCUUGAUUAACUUGCUUAAGGAAUGUCACAAAAAUCACAACAUUCUGAAAUUUUUUGGUUAUUGUAAUGAUGUUGAUCGGGAGUUGAGAAAAUGCCUGAAGAAUGAGGGUCUCGCUCUGUCACCUAAGCUGGAGUGCAGUAGGGUGAUCGUAACUCACGGAAGCCUCAAACUCAAGUGAUCCUCCCACCUCAGCCUCC